UCUCACCAUCACCUCUGAAACAAACUAGAGCAACCUUAAACUCGAGGUGUCCAACGACUCCAUGAUUGAACCUUUGAUAAAGCUUUACUUCUCUACUGCACUUCCUAAAUCAGAGUACGGCCAGUUUGAUUUUUUUUUUCUUUCUUUUUUCUUUGCAGCAUCCCUGACCUGAAGUAAAAGAUUCACAUGCUCCCAAUUUGAUCACUUCCUGUGAUUCAAUGCCACAUACGUUGAAUCCAAUUUUACCAAUCACCACCAGCUAUCUCCGCCAACGAAUAGCCCCUUUGCUCUUCCUGAUAGCAAGGACCUGCAAUUUCGAUCAGCUUCUCGUUGUUACCGAGGACCCUUCUCUCGCCAACCAAUACACUGCACCUUCAAGUGAUUCCUAUAUUGCCAUCCAUGUCAGUCUUUUCCAGAACUUGCUCUUGCACUUUUGCUGGAGACUCCUUCAUCCCCUUUGAUCUCUCAAUCAAAACAAUCGCCAAGUCGCCAAAUUCUCUGUAAUUUCAGACAGUUCUUGCGAUCAACCCUGUGACUUGCGUUUCCUUAUUGUGCUCAGAAACUUCAAGAGAUUCGCGACUCUCUCCCAAGCUUCCUUUCACGUCAAUGAAACGCGUCGACUGCGUUGGAAUCUCUGUUUUUCGCAGUGAGAUCUUCGUUGUCAAUUCUCUCUGGUGUUCCCUGCUACUCUUACACCACCAAACCAAGCUCACAACCCCUUUGAUAUUUUCCUUUGAUAGUGAAAGCCUCUCGCCAGUACCUUUGCUUGCCGACCUUUUCAAGCUUCUCCGGCGAGCCCAUUUGUCUGCCUCAUCCGCUAGUUCAGACAGAGUCGUAUCCCUUCAGCUACUUGAUCAAGGCAGGUUCCUUAGCAAUUAGAAACCGCCUCCACCUUGGACGUUCCCUCUAGUAACCACAACUUCGAUCCUAUGACUGCAACCCUUGCAGUUAGCUCCGCUUUAUUUUACCAUUCUCCACAGCUCCACCUGAACCUAGAAUCAUCUUCUGAUUCCAUUUAAUGUUUCUUCGGUGAUCAAUCGAAGUACUUCUGCUCCCAUGAUGAUUCCUGUUAAAACCAUAAACUUGAACCAUCCUACUAGCCUCUGCAAUUUUUCAGACUUAUCCGAGACAGUGAAAUCACAGCUUGGAUUUCAACCUCUUUCUUCACACAGUAGCUCCUUAUGGAAUCUAACCGUUGAUUCCUUGUUUAUUUCCAGCUACUCAUGAUGAAAGACCAACCUUCUCUCUUGCUUCCUGCAACUUCAGCUCCUUUGGUGUACCCUUACAACUCCUUUGCUGGUCCUCGGCCACUCGUCUUCUUUCAGUUUAUCCGGCAAACUGAUUCACCUCCUCCACUGUUUAAGACGUCCGAUUUCCAUGAUGAACUCCACCUGGAACCAGAAUCAACACUCCAGAACGUCUGAUGCUUCACGGUUACGUUAAAUCUUCAUUGCGAGAGCUCAGCCUCGUCCCUUUUUCCAUCCUUUAGGUAAUUCCCUUUACCUUAAACCAAUCAAUCACACAGCCUCCUCCAUGACCUUCAUGAAUCUGUUGUUGAUCGAACUCAUCCUCCCUUUGCAUCUUGAUUUCCUUUAAUCAAAUGCAAUUACUUUUCUAAAUCAUACAUGUUUCACCCAAUGAAACAAUCUCUGAUUCAAAAAAAUCUUUUCUGUUUAAACCCCACAGCUUUGAAUCCCUCUUUGUACCGCCGUUAACGGAACACGCCAUCAAGCUACCACAUUUGCUAGAUAGACUUUCGACACAAACUUUGAUCCAGCUUUCUUCUUAAACGGAAUCUUAGUAACAACAUUACACCUUGUUGCCAGAUUUCUUCUGUAUAAGAUCUGCCUUGAACUCCUCUGUGUACCGCUGUUAUCACUUAACAGAACCCGCCAUCAAGCUAUCAUCCUUGCUAGAUAGACUUUCGACACACCCCUAGUCCAAGCAUCUCUUCUACAGAACUUAAC